rnacentral:rRNA from 1 species
AUUGAACGCUGGCGGCAUGCUUUACACAUGCAAGUCGAACGGCAGCGGGGAGGAGCUUGCUUCUCUGCCGGCGAGUGGCGAACGGGUGAGUAAUACAUCGGAACGUGUCGAGAAGAGGGGGAUAACCACCCGAAAGGGUGGCUAAUACCGCAUAAAUUCUGAGGAAGAAAGCUGGGGACCUAGGAAUAGGCCUAGCGCUUUUUGAGCGGCCGAUGUCGGAUUAGCUAGUUGGUGAGGUAAAGGCUCACCAAGGCGAAGAUCUGUAGCGGGUCUGAGAGGAUGAUCGGCCACACUGGGACUGAGACACGGCCCAGAGUCCUACGGGAGGCAGCAGUGGGGAAUUUUGGACAAUGGGGGCAACCCUGAUCCAGCCAUGCCGCGUGUAUGAAGAAGGCCUUAGGGUUGUAAAGUACUUUUGUUAGGGAAGAAAAGUCAGCUGUGAAGAAUGGCUGAUACUGACGGUACCUAAAGAAUAAGCACCGGCUAACUACGUG